GGUACCAUGCAAUAUGACUUCAAAGGGUCUUCAUUUGCUCACCGAACCUCUCCAAUCCUAUCACUGCUGCGUUUAUGCCCCUGUACACAUGCUUGAUUCUCUUUCGGAGACAUAGCAAUCCAUAGGUUUUAAGAUACUUACUAGUCAGGUACAUUCUUAGGCGUUUAAUAUGCGGUGUUGAGUCCAUUUCGUUGAGCAAGGAGUAGCUCUUGUCUAUUCCAUAUUUGGCUUAAGGAACUUUAUCUGUGCUCAUUUCAAUCUCUGGUUUUAUGCAGCACCCCAACUCACCUUUACCCUUAAGCAAGCAUAAG